rfam:Aedes aegypti strain Liverpool supercont1.365 genomic scaffold, whole genome shotgun sequence.
GGCUCGGUAGCUUAGCUGGAAAAGCCUUUGUUUGGCAUACAAGAGUCGUGGGUCUGAAUCUCACCUGAGCUC